rnacentral:rRNA from 1 species
GUAGGGAAUUUUCGGCAAUGGGGGGAACCCUGACCGAGCAACGCCGCGUGAGGGAGGAAGUAUUUCGGUAUGUAAACCUCUGUUAUAAAGGAAGAACGGCAUAUGCAGGGAAUGGCAUAUGAGUGACGGUACUUUAUGAGGAAGCCACGGCUAACUACGUGCCAGCAGCCGCGGUAAUACGUAGGUGGCGAGCGUUAUCCGGAAUCAUUGGGCGUAAAGAGGGAGCAGGCGGCAGCUAGGGUCUGCGGUGAAAGCCCGAAGCUUAACUUCGGCGAGCCGUGGAAACCGAGCAGCUAGAGUGCAGUAGAGGAUCGUGGAAUUCCAUGUGUAGCGGUGAAAUGCGUAGAUAUAUGGAGGAACACCAGUGGCGAAGGCGACGAUCUGGGCUGCAACUGACGCUCAGUCCCGAAAGCGUGGGGAGCAAAUAGGAUUAGAAACCCUAGUAGUCC